GGGAAUCUUGGGCAGCCUCAUAGUAAUUUUCGAUAGUAUACUGGGACUUGCAAGUCCUGUCCCAGCUACUGCUGGAGAAGAGUGGCUUCUCUUUCUCUUCCCCUUCCAAAUCCUGGUGAGAUCCCUUCCUUUGAAGCGUCUGACCUGGAAUCCUAGUGAUUUCCUCCUAGGCACUUUUGUCUGAACCACGUGGCACAAAUUGGCAGAGAACAAGGAAAAGAAGAACAGAGGAAGGAGAAAAGGAGAAAAGUCAUUCUGCUGAAAACGAGCUGACUGAGUUGGCUUGGCUGUACAUAGGAGGAAGACCCUGAUCCCUGGUGCUCAACACAGAAAUGCUUCAAUGAUACCCUGAGAUUGUUUUACCUUGCAACACUCUCUGGAAAAUUGCUGCUCCAGGAAUGCGAUGAAAAGAUCUGUAAGAGAGCACAGCCCCUGUUGAUUGACUUGUCUUGAUCAAACCAGAGCUUCUGGCUGGGAUACUGGUAUCUUGAGUGAGUCACAGCAGGAGAUACGUGCUGGAGCUGAAGAGGUUGGAGAGGCAGCAGAAAAGGUAGGAGACAGCAAGAGAAGGAGAGCAGCCUACAGAUGAGAAGACAAGUAAUUUACCCUAAAGUUCUAGGACUGCUGUUGGUCAAAGGAAAAAUCCUUCUGAGAGAUUUUGAUUUUAGGUUUUGAUUCUACUUCUGUUUCUAUGAAUGCUAGAGAGAAGAAGAAGCCUAUGAAGUAUACAUUUUCAUAGUAUUUUAUAGAUAAGAAUCAGUGUAUUUAAGCUAUUAACUGAGUCACCUAAUUAGUUAAUGAAAGAGUUGGGAUUACAACCCAAGUGUGUUUGAUCUCAGGGACCACACUUUCUAAUUCACAAAUAAUCUUUCCCUAGUAGAAUCCAUACCAGUGUUUUCCAAACUUGUUUUUUCUGUGAGAUUAACAAAAGUAAAUUUAGAGUAUAAUCUGCAAUAAAAGUCGUUGUUGGUGGUGAAUUAGAGGCAAGAGUCAGAAAGACCAUGUAAUUGAAUAUGUGAAGCAACAGGGGUUUUCGCUAAUGGGCUGUGUUCCUGAAAAGGUAAGGAAAGAGAAAAUAAUGAGGACAAAGAAAUGAAUAAGGCAAGGAAAAGACAAUAAUAGAAGCUGAAACGAAGUGAAAGGAAAAACAGACCAUUUGCUAUAUUUCGCUUUAUUACCACCACCAUUCUUAGACAUCAGAAGAUUUAAAAAAAAUCACGGCAGUAACUUCUUGAAGUAAUAUUGAUAAAACUUGCUUCCAAAUAUUUAUAUUUUUUGUAACUAAAAGCAUAAUCAGAAUUCAGUGAUCCCUUUUUAAUGCCACAAGUAGUGCAAUGUUAACAAGCUAGACUGCAUGAUAUCCUGUUUAAGUGUGUGUCUGUGCGUGAGUGGGGCAGGGAGGGGGUCUUUG
rnacentral:lncRNA from 1 species